AGCUCCAAGAGCGUAUAUUAAAGUUGUUGCAGUUAAAAAGCUCGUAGUUGGAUUUCUGGUACAACGCGCCUGGCCCGCUUUUGUGAGUGCCGGUGCGCGUUUGCCAUCCUUCUAGAAAACGUUUCUACCCGGGUAACUGGGCCGGACUCGCGAUCUAGAUCUUUUACUUUGAAAAAAUUAGAGUGUUUAAAGCAGGCCUUUGCUGUGAAUACAUUAGCAUGGAAUAAUAAUCUAGGACUUCGGUUCUAUUUUGUUGGUUUCUAGUACUGAAGUAAUGAUUGAUAGGGAUAGUUGGGGGUGCUAGUAUUGGCCGGCCAGAGGUGAAAUUCUUGGAUUCGGUCAAGACUAACUUAUGCGAAAGCAUUCACCAAGGAUGUCU
rnacentral:rRNA from 1 species